UACGUAGGGUGCAAGCGUUAUCCGGAUUUACUGGGCGUAAAGCGCACGUAGGCGGAUCGUUAAGUCGGGGGUGAAAUCCUGGAGCUCAACUCCAGAACUGCCUUCGAUACUGGCGAUCUUGAGUCCGGAAGAGGUGAGUGGAACUCCUAGUGUAGAGGUGGAAUUCGUAGAUAUUAGGAAGAACACCAGUGGCGAAGGCGGCUCACUGGUCCGGUACUGACGCUGAGGUGCGAAAGCGUGGGGAGCAAACAGG
rnacentral:rRNA from 1 species